rnacentral:rRNA from 1 species
AGUGAACGCUGGCGGUAGGCUUAACACAUGCAAGUCGAACGGAAGAACAGUAAGACUUUGUCUUUCUGGGGGGCGAGGGGGGGCAGGGUGAGGAUACCACCGGAACUUCUUUUUUGGGGGGGGUUAAGGAAGGGAACUUUACCUAAAUACAGAUACGACCCCACGGGGGAAGGGAGGGGACUUUUGGCCCUUGUGGGUUUGAACAAGCGGAUGUCGGAUUAGCUAGUUGGCGGGGUAAAGGCCCACCAAGGCGACGAUCCGUAGCUGGUCUGAGAGGAUGAUCAGCCACACUGGAACUGAGACACGGUCCAGACUCCUACGGGAGGCAGCAGUGGGGAAUAUUGGACAGAGGGCGCAAGCCUGAUCCAGCCAUACCGCGUGGGUGAAGAAGGCCUUCGGGUUGUAAAGCCCUUUUGUUGGGAAAGAAAAGCAGCAGGUUAAUACCCCGCUGUUCUGACGGUACCCAAAGAAUAAGCACCGGCUAACUUCGUG